UACGGGAGGCAGCAGUGGGGAAUAUUGCACAAUGGGCGAAAGCCUGAUGCAGCUAUGCCGCGUGUAUGAAGAAGGCCUUAGGGUUGUAAAGUACUUUCAUCGGGGAGGAAAAACAAAACUAAUAAUUUUAUUUCUUGACGUUACCCGAAAAAGAAGCACCGGCUAACUCCGUGCCAGCAGCCGCGGUAAUACGGAGGGUGCUAGCGUUAAUCAGAAUUACUGGGCGUAAAGAGCACGUAGGUGGUUUUUUUAAGUCAGAUGUGAAAUCCCUGGGCUUAACCUAGGAACUGCAUUUUGAAACUGAAAUACUAGAGUAUCGUAGAGGGAGGUAGAAUUCUAGGUGUAGCGGUGAAAUGCGUAGAUAUCUGGAGGAAUACCUGUGGCGAAAGCGGCCUCCUAAACGAAUACUGACACUGAGGUGCGAAAACGUGGGGAGCAAACAGGGAUUAGAUACC
rnacentral:rRNA from 1 species